rnacentral:rRNA from 1 species
GAAAGUUGAAAAGAACUUUGAAGAGAGAGUUCAAAAGUACGUGAAACCGUUUAGAGGUAAACGGAUGGGACCGCAUGCUCCCCUCGGAAUUCAACCUUCUGUUCAGCGCGCGGCGGGUGGGUUCGAUGCCUCUGGCACGGGCCGCCUGUCGGGGCGUUGUUCGGUUGGCGCACUUUCCGUGGGGUCGAGGCCAGGACCGGUUAGUGGGCGGCGAUAAACCGCCGAUUCAAGGUAGCUUCCCUCGGGGAGUGUUUAGGGAAUGGCGGAGCGGCCGCGCCCGCUGACCGAGGAGCAUCCGCCGAGGCGACAGGCCCCCGGGGCUCGUGGUGUGUUCAACUUGCGUGGACUGUUCGCAGUGCUCGCUGACCGCGCGCCUCGUGUCCCCGGGUCCGUCUGCGUCUCACAGGGUCUCUGGCUAGUUUUGUCGGCACCCCAUCCGACCCGUCUUGAAACACGGACCAAGGAGUCUAACAUGUGCGCGAGUCAUGAGGUGGCAAACCUAAAGGCGCAAUGAAAGUGAAGGCAGGCUUCGGUCGGCCCAGGUGGGAUCCCUCUCGGGGGCGCACCACCGGCCCGUCUCGAUCCUCCGGAUGAGGCGGAGCAAGAGCGUACACGUUGGGACCCG